UACAGAGGUCCCAAGCGUUGUUCGGAUUUACUGGGCGUAAAGGGUGCGUAGGUGGCGAGGUAAGUUCGAUGUGAAAUCUCCGAGCUCAACUCGGAAAUGGCAUUGAAUACUAUCCCGCUUGAGGGUCGGAGGGGAGACUGGAAUUCUCGGUGUAGCAGUGAAAUGCGUAGAUAUCGAGAGGAACACCAGUGGCGAAGGCGAGUCUCUGGACGACUCCUGACACUGAAGGCACGGAAAGCUGGGGGAAGCAAACAGGAUUAGAC
rnacentral:rRNA from 1 species